rnacentral:rRNA from 1 species
UACGUAGGGUGCGAGCGUUGUCCGGAAUUAUUGGGCGUAAAGAGCUCGUAGGCGGCCUGUCGCGUCUGCUGUGAAAACUCGGGGCUUAACCCCGGGCCUGCAGUGGGUACGGGCAGACUAGAGUGCGGUAGGGGAGACUGGAAUUCCUGGUGUAGCGGUGAAAUGCGCAGAUAUCAGGAGGAACACCGGUGGCGAAGGCGGGUCUCUGGGCCGUAACUGACGCUGAGGAGCGAAAGCAUGGGGAGCGAACAGG